rnacentral:rRNA from 1 species
GGCGGCCUAAUACAUGCAAGUCGAGCGGACAGAAGGGAGCUUGCUCCCGGAUGUUAGCGGCCCCCUUAAAGAGUAACACGUGGGUAACCUGCCUGUAACACUGGAAAUAACUCCGGGAAACCGGAGCUAAUACCGGAUAGUUCCUUGAACCGCAUGGUUCAAGGAUGAAAGACGGUUUCGGCUGUCACUUACAGAUGGACCCGCGGCGCAUUAGCUAGUUGGUGAGGUAACGGCUCACCAAGGCGACGAUGCGUAGCCGACCUGAGAGGGUGAUCGGCCACACUGGGACUGAGACACGGCCCAGACUCCUACGGGAGGCAGCAGUAGGGAAUCUUCCGCAAUGGACGAAAGUCUGACGGAGCAACGCCGCGUGAGUGAUGAAGGUUUUCGGAUCGUAAAGCUCUGUUGUUAGGGAAGAACAAGUGCAAGAGUAACUGCUUGCACCUUGACGGUACCUAACCAGAAAGCCACGGCUAACUACGUGCCAGCAGCCGCGGUAAUACGUAGGUGGCAAGCGUUGUCCGGAAUUAUUGGGCGUAAAGGGCUCGCAGGCGGUUUCUUAAGUCUGAUGUGAAAGCCCCCGGCUCAACCGGGGAGGGUCAUUGGAAACUGGGAAACUUGAGUGCAGAAGAGGAGAGUGGAAUUCCACGUGUAGCGGUGAAAUGCGUAGAGAUGUGGAGGAACACCAGUGGCGAAGGCGACUCUCUGGUCUGUAACUGACGCUGAGGAGUAAAAG